UACAGAGGUCUCAAGCGUUGUUCGGAAUUACUGGGCGUAAAGCGCACGUAGGCGGAUUUGUAAGUCAGGGGUGAAAUCCCGAGGCUCAACCUCGGAACUGCCUUUGAUACUGCAAAUCUCGAGUCCGGAAGAGGUGAGUGGAAUUCCUAGUGUAGAGGUGAAAUUCGUAGAUAUUAGGAAGAACACCAGUGGCGAAGGCGGCUCACUGGUCCGGUACUGACGCUGAGGUGCGAAAGCGUGGGGAGCAAACAGG
rnacentral:rRNA from 1 species